rnacentral:rRNA from 1 species
GACGAACGCUGGCGGCACGCCUAACACAUGCAAGUCGAACGGUGAAGAGAAGCUUGCUUCUCGGAUCAGUGGCGGACGGGUGAGUAACAUGUGAGGAACCUGCCUUUUCAGAGGGGGGAUAACGUUUGGAAACGAACGCUAAUACCGCAUAACAUAUUCGGACGGCAUCGUCUGAAUAUCAAAGGAGCAAUCCGCUGAAAGAUGGCCUCGCACCUGAUUAGAUAGUUGGUGAGGUAACGGCUCACCAAGUCGACGAUCAGUAGCUGGACUGAGAGGUUGAACGGCCACAUUGGGACUGAGACACGGCCCAGACUCCUACGGGAGGCAGCAGUGGGGGAUAUUGCGCAAUGGGGGGAACCCUGACGCAGCGAUGCCGCGUGGAGGAAGAAGUUUUCGGAUUGUAAACCUUUGUUGAUAGGGACGAAUAGAUGACGGUACCUAUCGAGGAAGCCACGGCUAACUACGUG